GAGACUCUGUGCGCGUGCAUAUCAAUAAGCGGAGGAAAAGAAACUAACAAGGAUUCCCUUAGUAACGGCGAGUGAAGCGGGAAGAGCUCAAAUUUGAAAUCUUCAAGGUUUUACCUUGACGAAUUGUAGUUUAUAGAAGUGUUUUCUGUUAGUAGAGUGGCAAAAGUUCUUUGGAAUAGGACAUCAUAGAGGGUGAGAAUCCCGUAUUUGGUCAUUCCUCCUAGCUUUGUGAUACACUUUCAACGAGUCGGAUUGUUUGGGAAUGCAGUCCAAGAUGGGUGGUAAAUUUCAUCUAAAGCUAAAUAUUGGCGAGAGACCGAUAGCGAACAAGUACCGUGAGGGAAAGAUGAAAAGAACUUUGAAAAGAGAGUUAAACAGUACGUGAAAUUGUCAAAAGGGAAGCGUUUGACACCAGUGUUGUUUAGUUCCGAAAAUCAAUUCACUAAUUUUUGAUUUUAAGUAGUUAUGACUUCAUCAGCUUGCUGCUUUCUUCUACAGAAACUUCUUGAAUGCACUUUUCAGUUAACAAGUCAACAUCAAUUUCUUUUGUUGUAAAAGGGUACGAGGAAGGUGGCUUGCGCUUUCGGAUAAAGUGUUUAUAGCCUUGUAUCCUCUGCAAUCGGAGAGAUUGAGGUCUGCAGCGUAGAUCCUUCGGGGUUAGAUACACUUGUGCUAAGCUAUAGCCUUGUAUAGACAACUUGUUGACUAUGCUCAGUCAUGUAGCUUACUCGCUUGUGCUAUUUUACCUACGCUUAGGAUGUUGACAGCAGUAUAGACUGU
rnacentral:rRNA from 1 species